UCCCUGGAGGUCCAGUGGUUAGGACUUGGCCCUUUCACUGCUGUGGCCUGAGUUCAACUCCUAGUCUGGGAA
rnacentral:tRNA from 1 species